rnacentral:rRNA from 1 species
UGGGGAAUUUUGGACAAUGGGGGCAACCCUGAUCCAGCAAUGCCGCGUGCGGGAAGAAGGCCUUCGGGUUGUAAACCGCUUUUGUCAGGGACGAAAAGGUGCUUGUGAAUAAUGAGCACUGCUGACGGUACCUGAAGAAUAAGCACCGGCUAACUACGUGCCAGCAGCCGCGGUAAUACGUAGGGUGCAAGCGUUAAUCGGAAUUACUGGGCGUAAAGCGUGCGCAGGCGGUUGGGUAAGACAGAUGUGAAAUCCCCGGGCUUAACCUGGGAACUGCAUUUGUGACUGCUCGACUGGAGUAUGUCAGAGGGGGGUGGAAUUCCAAGUGUAGCAGUGAAAUGCGUAGAUAUUUGGAAGAACACCGAUGGCGAAGGCAGCCCCCUGGGGCAAAACUGACGCUCAUGCACGAAAGCGUGGGGAGCAAACAGG